AGACUUCCCUGAGCCUCAGAGCUGAGAAGCAAAUUCUGAAAUUGAAUGUGGCAAAAACAACAAGAAGAUUUUUCAUACCACAGUCCUCUGCCUCUGUGGGAUCUGGGGAGAAGGAAGGGGAAGCAGCAGGUGGGGAUGGAUGGAGCUGCAGCCUGCCUGCCCAGAGGAGCUGGGCACUAGGACUGCACAGCAUGCCAUGCAAAGCAGCUACCCUUCACUUAAACACAAUCAAGGCCUGCAGCUCACAAAGGAACUAAUAAUAAUAAGCAGCAGCAGCACAAGAAGAUUCUGAAAGAAAACAUCUCCUCAAGGGAUUUCUGACUUAGCUUCCAGCUACAUGACAUACAAAGCAUCACAAAUUUCAACAUGUUACUUAACCACAAUGAGUCCUACUCACUCAGAGGUUUUCAUGUUCUGUCUACUUCAGACUCCAAAACUCAAGAUCCACACAACACAACAACAACAAAAGUGAACUUCAAAUUGCGCUGUACAGCCCAUAUCAAGCAUGAAAGUGCAGAGCCCCAGAAUGUCAAGGACUCAAUUAGAGGAAGAAGAAAUCUUCAAGGACACAGACUAAAAUGGGAACAAAAUAAAAAGCAGAGGGACAUAAAAAGCAGUGAAGAAGAAGCCACCAACAAGACCAAAACUUGGUACAGACAAUAAGGUAAACAUGCAUACGUGUAGGGUUAGCUAGGAAUAGAAGGCAGCAGACAAUGAAAAUGAAUUCAAUCAGAAUAAUUGCAAAAGCCUUUUUUUGCUCAC